UAGGAACCGGCAUGGGCAUAACCUCAGGAUAUAAAUGAUGCUGAAGCAGGGUCAAGGGUUUUUUUUUUUUUAGGUUUCCGUGUCUUACUGUUGAGCUGCUAAGUGCCCGGCUUAGAAGACCAGAAAAGGAGUCACAGGUUGUUUGAGGGACGUUCAUCAAGGAAACCGGAGAAACUGAAAAUGCUCUUCUGCUGCUUGAGAACAGUCACAGAGAGAAGAGUAAAUUCCUUCCAUUCUUACCGUAAUUUUUCUUGCUGAUGGGAACAAUUCAAGUCAAGUGACAUAACCUACUGGGUUGGUGACAUUUACAAGACAGACUCUUGAAGAUUUUCCAGAAUGGGAAAGAUGAACUUCACAAGCAACAAUUUUUCAAAUCAGUUUUCUCUGUUGUGAAUCUUGAAGUGGGCACAUGACGCAGUUUCCCAUUUAAGAUUUUGAAAGAACAAAGAGUAACUACAGAAUCAUUGCUUACAUUGACACCCGCCCAAUUGUCCCAAUGGAUGGGUUUUUUGGGAUGAACGUAAAAAUUGACCCUGCUGUUAAAGCUUGAAACUUGGAUCUAUUUUAUCUGAGUUCUCUCCUCAAAAAAAGACCUUCAGGAAGUAUCAGGAAGCCAUCAUUCUUUAGAGGGCAAUGACCGAACAGUACCAGCAGAAAUUGAAGUACCAGCAGAAGGCUAAGAAGGAUCAUGGCACAAGUUGCAGUUUCCACCCUGCCCAUUGAAGAUGAGUCCAUGGAAGAUGAGGAGUCCGUUGAAGAUGAGGAGUCUGUUGAAGAUGAGUCCAUGGAGAGCAGGAUGGUGGUGACACUGCUCAUAUAGCUCUCGAGUCCACAUAAGAAGAGGAACUUCUCGGCUGGGCGCAGCAGCUCAUGCCUGUAAUCCCAGCACUUUGGGAGGCCGAGGAAGGUGGAUCACAAGCAGCUCCUGAAUGUUCCGGAUGAGGUCGGCUUCCUGAGGGAGGAGACGCCCUGAGCACCAGAGCCCCUCCCUGGUGAGGAUCCCAGCAGGCCCAGCUGCCGCAGGCCUUGGUCAACACCUGAGCAACCAGAAGGAGCUGAAUGCCGGGCCUGAGCUCUGACUGUGCAAGUUCUGCUCUCUCACUGGGUUUAUCUUGGGCUUUUGGGCAUUCUCCUUGGUGCGUUGUAAGUGAGGUGUUUUCCUCCAGGGCCUUCUAUGGGCUGCUGGAAAAGUCCCUCAGCGGCAGUUCCCACACCCCAGGCUUCAGGAGUCAUCACUGCUGCUCACUCAGUGCACCCAGGAACGUUGGCCUGCCCCUGGCCCCUGGACAGCCUCUGAGGACCCAAACUCUGGGGGCCCAGAUGCCCGCCCAGGCUGCCCCUCAGGGCUCUGUGCUGGGAAAGGCCAUCCUUACACCAAGAACAGGAGGAGGACCCUGUGUUUCUUCUUACUGCCUGGCCAGUUUAAUUUUCUGUGUGUAGCAACAAGCCUUUUCCCUGCGAUCAUGGUCUUUGCCUCAACCACCGGCUAACUCCUUGUGUGCCAGGGCCCGAGUCCUGCGCCCUUCUGUCGCCGGGUUUGCCUCUUCCUGCACCGUCAGUGUCUCCGUCACUCGGCAGGUGCCCUUGGUGUGGGCAGAGGGUUUGCGGGAGCUGCAGGAGUUCUUGAGGCACUGAGAGGGUGCAGGGGGAAGGGCCUGCAGAAGGGUAAGGGAGGGAGGAGGGAAGGCAUGAGGGGAGGGAGGGACUCAAGGGUUCUUGCUUGAGCUUGGGGGUAUGGCAGGAGACCAGCUGCCCCCACCCCACAUCUUUCAUGAAUGUCUACAGGCCUAUAGUGGUUCUCAGGGAGGCCCCAGGCUCUGAGAGGCUAGAGAGUUCUUCAGAGCAGCAACAGGGCCAGGACUGAAUUACUCUCUCACCCUAUGGGGCUGCCCCACAGACAAGCUGGGCUGGAUUGGGAAGUUACAGGGGACAUGGAGGAGAGAGGACCUGCGGGUGCAGAUCUGUGUGGCCCCAGCUCUGUAUAGGAUAAAUGGGAGCGGUGGCUCCCAGCCCACCCCACCCUGGGCCAUCCUGGCAGUGCUGGCCCAGGCCUGGGUUUUCACCUCGGGAGCAACUGUCCCAGCCAGGGAUGGUCUCUGGGGAGGUGCCUUGUGGCUCAGCCCAGGGAGCCCAGAGUCAGGAUAACUGUACCAGGACUCAAAGGGAUUGGAAGAGGAGAGGAAGAGAAAUAGCUGCUUGGAAGUCAGGGGCCCUCUGGGGCAAAGCUGCCUCCUGUCUGUCACUAAGGGGCCAGAUUUCGGGACUCGGGUCUCACGUGCAGAGGGCUGGGCUCCCGCUUGCUUGCAGCAGCCACGUGGCUUGUCCACGUGAACUGCCGGGGCCCGUCUUCUGCGCCCACAAGUCCCGGCCACCCAAGGCUGCUGGCACCUUCAGCAGCUCCGUCUCCGCAUGGUCGCGCACGAGGUUGGGGUGCUGGCGGCGCUCACGGCACUGCAGGUUGUCAGUGGCGAUGGAGAAGGGCACCUCCGUGGCGUCCAGGGCGCGUUCCAGCCGUUGCUUCUGGGCCAGCAGCAAGUCGGUUUCCGCAGCCAGCGCCGCCACCUCGCGCUGCAGUUCCGACUUCCAGCCGUGCGUGUCCUGCAAUCGCUCGCCCACCCUAGGCGUGGAGUCUUGUUGCGUGCGCCGCGCCAGCGCCUGGGUCUCCGCGGCCAGCUGCUGGCUCUCGUGCCGCUGCCGCUCCGAUUGGUGGCGGUCGGCGAAGGCCUGGUGGUAGCCAGCAUAGCAGUUCUAAAACCACUCCUCCAGCAGGUACUUGGCGGUGCGGAAGCCGGCGGUGGCCAGGCCGGAGGACGUAUAGGCGCCCGUGUUGCGGGCCACGUCGUACUCUUUGCAGGGCAGCUUGCAGGGCGGCACCGCCUGCGGGGCCGGCUCUUUGGUUAAGAGCACAUCCUUCUGCGCCAUGGUGCCCGCCGCCCACCAGGGCCAGGGGAGUGAGGAAUGUGUGUGGUCAGCCCAGUGCGGUCAGCGUGGCAGCUCCAGCGGCUGAGUCCCAGAGCAGGACGCGGCUCCCAGUCGCCUGGGUGACACUGUAAACCAAGAGCUUCCUGUUGCUAAGAAACGGGAUCCCCUCUCCAGUGGCUGGGGAAGGGGGCAUUCAGGGCGGCGGGCAGAACUGCCCUCUUAAAGGGCCAGGCAGCCCCAGCCCCACCAUCCCUGUACCCGCCUCGGGACAAUCAGCAGUGGUCAAGGGUUCCUGUCACUUAGAGGAUCCUGGGGCCAGCCCGUCUCCAGCCUCUGUGUCCCACCCUUAGGGUUCAGGGUGUGGGUGGGGACCUGCUGCCCUGGCCCCUUCCUUGAUUCAUCCAUUUGUUCUUGGUUUGCUCUCUGAUCCUGUCCUGUGCGGAGCUCCCCGCUCAGGGUGAACAAGACAGAGGAGGCUCUGUUCACUUGCAGCCCCCUUAGAGCAGAGGGUUGUGGCUGUCGUGUGGGUGUUGGGUGUGCUGACUGAUAGUGUCACUUGAUGCCGUACAGGUGGCUGCUCUCCCUGCCCUCCUGGCCCCAACAGCAGCCUGGUGGCACAGGGAGGGUCCCCGGCCAGGCCCCCUCGGGGGCAGUCUGAGGCAGUUCCUGCAGGGACUAUGCUCCAUCUGCUCCUGGACCUAGUGCUUGAGAGCCAGGCCCUGGCCUCUGGCCUCCUCCCAAGUCCCAGCCAGGGUCCCCUCAGGCUGGGCACAGCGGGGAAGGAGUCUGAGUGUGCUCUUCGCUGGGGAGUUGAAUUUAGCCUCUGGGUAAGUGUCCAGAGUCAGACGCCCAAAUCUGCCCCACAGGGCGGAGGCAGGUCCUGUGCUGCGGAGGCUGGAUGGGCAGGAAGCGUCCCAGGACACAUCGGAGUCCCCCAAACCUGAGGCCAGGGGAGCCCCAGCCUAGGCGCGAUUCCCCACACGGCCAGCGGAGGAUGGCUUUGGGCUGGCGGUGAGAAGCCUGCGGCUCCUGGCUCGGCCUCCCCUCAGCCUGCCUGGAGCAUGCAGUCCUGGUGCACAGGAUUUGACCAAGGAUGCAUCAGAGAUAGGAGACUGGGCCCUCACUCCUGCCAGCUGCAAACUCCCAAAACCCCCAGCCCUCUCAUGGGGUGAAGACGCCCUGAAGGACACUCCAGUGUGCUCACACCUCUGGGUUCUGUCAGCCAGAGAGUGGGACCCUCAGGCCACAUGUGUCUUGCUGGAUCUCAGCUUCAGGGACCCCAGGGUGCUGGCAGCUCCCUGAGAACCUGGGUCAGGGGGUGUCCAUUAGAGCCCCUAGGUCAGGACCCAGAGCACCCCGGGCAGUUGGCAUCUCCAGAAAGCAGGAGGUGGGGCAUGGCUCUGUGACAGAUGUCCCUGAGACAGGGAUGAUUGAAGGGACAGAGGGGUGUGCUCAGGGGCUGAAGGGCAGACGAGGCCACCAAAGGGCACCUUGGAUACCGGAUGGCCCCAGGAAGGCCCCUGAACCCCAUCCUGAUUGAUCCAGGGCCAGUGACCUUGGCCCAGACUGCAGGCCUGGAGACUUGGGUUCCUUUAGUUUCUUAAGAAAGUACUAUACUCCUUUUUGGCAUAGCUGUACAAUCUUACAUUCCCACCAGUAAUGUGUGAAAGCUCCAGUUUUUACUCAUGCUUCUCAGCGUUUGAUGUUUUAUUUUUAUUUUAGGCAUUCUGAUAUAUAUGUGUUAGUAAGUCAUUGUGGUCUUAAUUUGUAAAUUUCUAAUGACUAAUGAUAUUUAACAUCUUUUCCUAUACAUAAUUAAAUACCAUCUGUAUUCCUUUUCACAUAUCAUUAGCACAACCAUGAAAAAUCAGAACAAAUUUUUUCACGUCUUCAAAAUUUUUAGAACAAUACUCAAGGAAAAGGUGUUUAUUUAGAACAAUGAAAACAAUGAGACAUUAACUUCUAGCUUAAAUAAAAUUGAUUGUGUGCAU